AACGCACAUUGCGCCCUUUGGUAUUCCGAAGGGCAUGCCUGUUCGAGCGUCAUUAUCACCCCUCAAGCCCUGCGCUUGGUGUUGGACGGUUUGGUUGGUCACUCGACCCCUCCUAAAGACAAUGACGGCGGCCUGUGGAGCCCCCGGUACACUGAGCUUUCACGAGCACGUACCGGAUAAGGGUGCCCGGGACCCGGUCUUCUCUCGCCUUUAACGGUGGGAAACUUUUCUCAAGUUUUGACCUCGGAUCAGGUAGGGAUACGCGCUGAACUUAA
rnacentral:misc_RNA from 1 species